GUUGGUUCUUGUGUGAGGGGAGAUAGAGGAGUUAGAGACAGGAUAAAAUAAGACUAAGAGGGUAAAGGGUAACAGCGUUUUGAAUGCAUUUAAAGUUUAUUUGUGUCUGCAACAAACUACAGUCUUCGUUGUUAACUUGAGAACCCGACUGAGACUAAGUGUUUUACCAGAGAGAACCUGGUUGGUGGCAAUGGAUUAGUGGUGUACGGGUCAAUAGUCCGUGAAAUGACCGGGGGCUCCGUAUGAACUCCACAACAACAUGGAACCCAGAUAUGGAAAAUAGCUAUUCAGUAGCCUAGUUCUGGUUUCUCUCUAAUUUCCAUGGAUAUGUUCUUGUGCACCUGAGAUUUCAUAAAAAGGUUUUGCAAGUACUCUCUCUCUCUCUCUCUCUCUCUCUCUCAACAAUCCUCGCCACAAGUAUCCCUCUGUUCCUGCAAAACUUCUAAAAGUUUUCAAUCCAGAGCAAGACUUUUAGGUUAUCUAAUGUUAUGGGAGAUGACCUAUUUUACAGCACUCCAAGCUUAACAUUUUCACCUCACUUCACCCCAACAAUAAAUUCUUGCACAGGGUACUACUUAAAGGUUCAAUCAGGAUUUUAGAGUUUUCUUCACUCACAACAGCCAAGUGUGAAGUUCCGCAUUUCCUCCUUGAUUUGCUCACUGGAGUAGCUGUGACAGAGAAGUGCCUGAAAGGAUCAGUCAUCAUCCAAAUUGCUCCUGCCUGCCUGCCUGCCUGUGUAGAGGGUAAUCUAUGUUUCACAUUGGAUGUUUGCUCAAGGAACAGAAGACAAUAACAUGAAGUAGACACAAAAAGAUCCACUUGUGACUCAAAAUGGAAGGACAUGAGAGAGGAAAGAGGAAAGAAACAAGCCACACUUUUUUCCUGCAUAAAAAUCUUCAGAAUGUUAAUUCAACUGAGUCAAAAUUUGGGGGGCACAUUGCUGGCUCUGUUUAAAUUGGAGAAAAUUAUAUCCAGCUAUGCAAAACAAGAUUGCAUUCUAUGAGCGAGGAAGUUAUAGUGCAAGUCUGAACAUGUUUACUCAGAUACAGCUUGUCUCAUGGAGUGCAAUGCAACUUAUUCCCAGGUAAGUGUAUGCAGGCUUGAAGCCUCACAGUGUCUUCUUAUGUGGGUAUGCUCAGGUGUAAGUUCCAUUGGGUUGUGUGUUUAACUUAUACUCAGAGUAGACCAACUGGAAUUAAUGGACCAAAGUGAGUCAUGGCCAGUCAUUUCAAUGGUCCUACACUGAGUAAAAGUUGAAUACAACCCAUUGAGUUUAAUGACACUAACAGUGCAAUCCAAACCCAAGAUCUACCAGGAAAAACAAAUUUGGAAAAGGCAGGUCCUUGGCUGUCCCAGCUGAAAUGGGGUUAUGCUAGUUAACUCUCUCAGCUCUGUGCUGUUUAAUUGGGUGAAAUUUACACUGAUGUAAAUCUGAAAAAGGGGAGUGGCAGUGACAGGACUGGACAAGAGACUUACACGUAUUUCAAGCCUCUUUCAGCUCAGUCAUGUGCCCUGGCAACGCAGUGGAUCUUACACCAUCUAAUAUGAUAGUGUAAGUUAAACUUGGUUUAAAAGGCUUGUUUUCCCUCUGUGGGAUUGAGCCAGCUCAGCUGACAGUAGUGCUACUCCUUAAUGGAGUUUCUAAUGUAUGCAUUUAUGCCUCUAUAUACCGUAUUGGACCAAAUAUAAGCUGCACCCAAAUAUAAACCACACCUUUAAAAUUAGAGGGGGAAAUGAAAAAAAUACCCAAAUAUAAGCCAAUCCAUUCCUUGAUGUUCCUGGCUGCAUAUUGGGCGGUGGGGUGGGGGGUGGGGUGGAGGGGAGAACCACACUGUGUUGGCGGUGGCCUUUUCCCUUCCUCGCUCUCUCCCUUCCUGGCCUUGGAGGAAGAGGAUGGGGGACUACAUGUGGGGUGGGUGCUGCUUUGCCACAUUCUUGGCGCUGUUUGCCUCGCACUCCUGGCUGCAUACCGUAAGGUCGUGAAUAUAAGCUGCAUUUUAACUUUUCAAGGUCGGAAUUUGGGGGGAAAGUGAGGCUUAUAUUCAGGCCAAUAUGGUAUGUUCAUCUGUCUCUAUCUCACACAAGGAAGAAGAAAAUAUUUUUUCUGAUCUUUGAUUUUUUUGGAACCAAAAUUGUAUUCACAUGUGAUUUCAUAGGGUGUCAUUAGACAUCCUGCUCUCCAACUACAUGAAAGUAAAUAGUGAUUCACUUCACAGGGUGGUUGUGAAGGCAAGCAACACUGUUGAUUUCGUCCAUCUUGUUUAUAUACUUGGUGAUAUUUGUUGCUUGUUAUACAUCACUUUUUGUGGAACGGCAGCAUGCAUAUAUAUGCAUGCACGCACACACGAUGCUCAAACCAGCAUCAUCAUUUUGGGGCAUGAUAUUUGGACAACUCUCAGAUAAUGAGAGACUGAUUCAGAUAUGUGAAUGUUUGUCUGGACUCCAGUGUUAACUGUGGAAGGCAAAGUUCCUUGAGUGCAAACAGUACUUGUGGAUCUCCUAUGGAAGGCUGUAGUCUACCUUCUAUUUUUCCAGAUGUUGGAGUCCCCAUUCAUUCCAAAGCAAGCACUUCACGGCAUGCAAGAGACGUGUGUGUGCAUUUGAGCUGUUUUUGUUGGAGAGAGAGGUUUAGAAGAUAUUCUUACUCUCUCACAGCAGAGUUAACACAAUUGUGAUUGCUCCAGGCACAUUAAAACUUGGUUAGAUUUGCAGCUGCCCUCAUCUACCUUCACACAACCAAUCCCCACAAAAGUACUUGAGCUAGAAUAAAUCAGACACUUAGUUUUGAUAAGGGACUAUUUUACCCGCAGAGUUUCCAGAAGUUACAGCAAACAAGUCCCCAUCUACUGGCAGGAAAAGAAAGGUGAAAAAGGCUCCGAAUGUCUUAAAAAGAAAAGUACUUACGUUUCCUUAAAAAAGGAUCAUGCAAACUUUGGGUUAGAAAAUAUGCAGCUUUAAAAUAGCCUUAUCGAGAGAUUCAGUUCAGUUGCAGGGAGCCAUGGCUGCAUGGCUUCUUGCUUAUUCUGGGAAGCAUAAAGAGAAAAGGGGGGGGGGAUGAGCAGAGACUGCUGAGAAAUUGCUAAGCCACACCCACUUGCAACCUGAGCUCUGGGCUCAGGUUAACUCUUUCAUGCACCCAAGUGUAAGUCUGUAACAGUAUAUUACAACAGUUUUAUCAGAAAGAUAACCUCUGAACUCCUAGGCAAAGUUAAUUGGAUUGGCAGAGGAGAGGGAGAGCACCUCUAACAACUCAUUUGAAUAAUAAAGCAUCACUUAACGAACCCUGUGGCUUGCCUCUCCAUGUGUUUCACUGAACUGUGCUUCCAGGAAACAACUAACAACACUUUAACCUCCAUAAAUCCCUGCAUGAAACUUUGGCAGUGCCAGUGUGAAGGCAAAAACAUUGCUCUCAAAGCAUUCAGAAAUUGGCAGAGCUUCAUCUGCCAUAAGUUAGAUUAGUUUCAGAACUAAAUGUCCAUAAUGGAUACAAAGAGACUGUUGAAAUCCAUCAGAAUAAAAAAUAAUGUUCCUUGCCAUGCCAGGUGCGGUGAUGCUACAUCUGUUUAAACUGAGACAGAGGGGAUGUUUCCUCAAAUGAAUGACAAAACAUUUCUGAAAAAGAAGAAGAGAGGUUGCAUAUAUUUCUGCAGUUAUCCCAGGGCACACUGUUCUCAUUUGGAAAUGAAAGCCUAUUUAUGUUCCUGUACCUGCAGAAAGGAAGGUCAAAUCCCGCUUCUGCUGCCUUGCAGUCUACCACUGUCUCACAGGGAUGUUAUAAGAUAAAUAAAUUGUAAAAUACACUGCAUACUGAGAAACAACUUUUCAAAUUCCUUAUUUUUUAUGCCACAGAACACACCACCCCCUUUUCAUUCAAAAUUCAAAAUAUCCACCACCAUGAUCAGGCCCAGUUAGUUGGGGGAUCCCAGGAAGGAUUGCGUCAGUGUCCCCCUUGCUCACACCUGCCGGGGUAGGUGCCAAAUAUUCACACUUCAAAUGGUAUGCCAGUCAUGUUAGAAACAGUGCAUGCUGCUUUUGGAAAGGCUAGGUUCCAUAGUUUUAAAUUAUUUGCUAGCAGUCUGUUAUGUACUGAGUUGAAUAGGAGCCAUACUGCAGCAGUCUGAUUGGUCCUAGAACAAUAGGAUCCAAAAUGCAGCAGUCUGAUUGGUCCUAGAACAAUAGGAUUCAGAAUGCAGCAGUCUGAUUGGUCCUAGAACAAUGCAGCAGUAUGAUUGGUUGGCAGGAACCACCCAAUCCUGCUCCAGAUAGAAGUGAAUCCACAACCUGAUUGGCUUACAGUAGAAUUCCGGAAUUAGCCAAUCAUGUGCAGCCCAUUGUGUAAAUAAUGUAUAUAAAGCAGAUACUGUGAGGGAACUUCCAUUCAGUCCUCCUCACCACUAUGAGCUGAAUAAAGAGCCUGAAAUCACUUUGCGACUCUGAGUAUAUUUCACUGGCGAUGAGGAUGGGAUCCCGCUGAGCUGACUGCCACACACAGCACCGCAGCACCGCCACCUGCCGCACCGCUGCCUCGCACCGUGUAUCCAGGCUUCAGCUCCGGGACACAAGGAACUCAGAAUGGCAGCCAACAGCAGCUUCUCGCCAUUCAACCCAGCAUCUGGAGACUGGGAAACGUACGCCUCCCGUUUCACCUUCUUCCUAGAAGCCAAAGGGGUCACCGACGAAGAAGACGCCAAGAAGAGGGCGAUAUUCUUCAGCGUCUGCGGAGAGGAGACGUUUGAAAUCGCCCGGGCUCUCCUUGCGCCUGAAGACGUCGCUACUGUUCCAUACAAAACAAUAAUGGAACAGCUGAAGGGGCACUUUUCGCUGCAGCCCUCAGUGGUGGCUCGUCGAAAUGCCUUCUACGCAAAGCAGCAAGCCCCUGGGGAAACCAUAACUGGGUUUGUGACCUCUCUCCGCCAAGCCGCCCGGUUCUGCAACUUCUCAGAGCUGGAGAACAUGCUUCGUGACCGCCGCGUCGGUGGCCUGAAGGAUGAGAAGCUGCAAUGAUGCCUCUACGCUAAGAAGGACCUAACGUUCCAGGUCGCUCUGGAGGAGGCCCUGGCAACGGAAGCUGCCGAGAGGUCAACGCAAGAGGCACGGCCGAGCCUGCCAUCCCAACCGAGGGUCCACCACGAAGACCUCACUGACGACUCAGGAUCCGACAGGGAGGAGGUGCACCGAGUACAGCAGCGCACUCAAGCAGCGCACAGACCACAGCUGCCUCGACGAGAAGGAGGGAACUGCGCAAGCUGUGGGGAGAGUCACGAGAGGAGGACCUGCCGUUUCCGCAACGCAGAGUGCAGGCAGUGCAGAAAAUCGGGACACAUCGCCCGGGUGUGUCGGGCUCGGCCCACCCGACACCAGGCAUCAGAUGACCAAUCCAAGAGCCCCAGGUCCCGGGGCCCAACGCACCAAGGCAACUCGACGGAGCUCACGGACUGCCAGGUAUACCAGUUGCCCCACCCCAACGUAGAGAAAAUUUAUGUAGAGGUACAGAUAGAGGGGGGCCCCAUGCCGCAUGGAGCUUGACACGGGUUCAACUCUAUCCAUAAUCUCGGCAAGGACCUUAAGGAAACUGUGUCCUACUGGGGGUCCCAAACUCAGGCCGGCCCCACUCACCCUACGGGACUUCCAGAAACGUAAGGUCCCCACAAUGGGGGUGGGGACCUUCAGGGUGCAAUACCGAGGGCGGACGCGGCAACUGGACUUGCUUGUGGUCAAGGGCCCCUACGUUAGCUUACUGGGAUUGGCAUGGUUUGGACCACUGGGCUAGCUGUCACCGGGGUGAACCACACUAGCUUACAAGUGGAUGUGGACGCCAUAUGCAAGGAAUUUCCAGUGGUUUUCGAUGGGAAAUUGGGACAGUAUACGGGCCCCCCCAUUGCACUACAGCUUGACCCCGCAGUACGACCGGUCAGGCUCAAGGCCCGCCGGGUCCCGUUCGCCUUGAAACCCCGUAUAGACGAGGAAUUGGACCGACUCGUGGAGCAAGGAGUGCUGGAGCCGGUGCCUAAUGCUCCCUGGGAAACCCCAAUCGUCACACCCAUCAAGCCUAAUGGUUCGGUCCGCAUCUGCGCAGACUACAAAUGUACCAUAAACAAGGCCCUCACGGCCCACGCAUACCCAGUGCCAGUGGUCAGCCAUGUCCUUGCCACCCUGGCUGGGUCGAAAUUUUUGGCAAGCUGGACUUGGCCCAAGCAUAUCAACAGCUGCCAGUAGAUGAGGCCACAGCAGAGGCACAGACGAUUGUGACGCACAGAGGAGCGUUCAGGGUAAAGCGGCUGCAAUUCGCUUGGCAGCGUGGCACCAGGCAUAUUCCAGAAUCUAAUGGACUCUCUCCUUAAAGGGAUUCCUGGCGUCACUCCCUUCUUCGAUGAUGUGUUGAUUGCCGGGCCCACACCAGAGGAGCCUGAGGACCGCCUCCGCAUCGUUCUGCACCGUUUCCAGACGGCGGGUCUCAAGGUGAAGCGGGAAAAAUGUCUACUAGGAGUGCCUCAGGUGGACUUUCUGGGAUUUAUGGUGGACGCAGAAGGGGUCCACCCGACUGGGGACAAGGUACGGGCCAUUUGUGAUGCCCCAGCACCCAAAAGCAAGACUGAACUUCAGGCCUUCUUGGGACUAUUGAACUUUUACCAUUCCUUCCUUCCCCACAAGGCGGCGGUAGCGGAGCCCCUACACAGACUCCUGGACAAGCGGGCCCCUUGGGUGUGGGGCCAGUGCCAGGAGGCCGCAUUCCAGGCAGUCAAGGACUUGCUUGUCUCAAACUUGGUCUUGGCACACUUCGACAAGAGGCUGCCGGUGGUGCUAGCAUGCGACGCCUCACCCUAUGGCAUUGGCGCUGUCCUGGGGCACCAACUCCCGGAUGGAAGAGAGGUACCGGUGGCGUACUUUUCCCAGACACUCAAUGCAACCGAGCAGAACUACUCGCAAAUUGACAAGGAGGGUCUGGCAAUCGUGAAGGGAGUAAAAAAAUUCCAUGAUUUCUUGUACGGGAGGCCCUUCACCGUGGUGACUGACCACAAGCCGUUGCUUGGCUUGUUUGCCCCCGAAAAGCAGACCCCCCCAAGUGCUGUCUCCUCGCGUCCUCAGGUGGUCAAUUUUCCUUGCCAGCUACCAGUACGCACUGAUUCACUGACCUGGGAAGGCGAUGGGCCAUGCGGACACCCUCAGCAGGCUACCACUACCGGAAACAGGCCCUGACCCAGCACCUGCAUAAGAGGUUAUGAGCCUGGAGCUGCUUCCUGACCGCCCCAUUCAGGCACAAGAAGUUGCACACCAUUCCAAGAAAGAUAGGGUCAUCUCCUGGGUCCUGGACUGGGUGUGGAGGGGAUGGCCCAGCAGCAGCCCUGGGCCAGAAUUCGCCGGCUACACAACCCGCAAACAUGAACUGUCGGCCUACAAGGGGUGCCUGUUAUGGGGAAGCAGAGUCGUUGUUCCCCAGCCCCUCCGCAAAAGGGUCCUCACAGCCCUACACGAGACACAUCCAGGGGUAGUAAGAAUGAAGGCCCUUGCCAGGAGUUAUGUGUGGUGGCCAGGGAUCGAUGGAGAGAUAGAGGCCUGGGUCAAACACUGCCAGGCCUGCCAAGAAUCCCGCCCAGAUCCCCCAAGGGCCCCAGUCCAGUCCUGGGAGUCCACCCGAGCACCAUGGUCACACCUGCAUGUGGAUUUCGCUGGCCCCUUUCAGGGGAAAACAUUCUUCAUAGUGGUGGACUCCUACACCAAAUGGCUGGAAGUCGCACUGGUACCGUCCACUUCCACGUCCGCAGCCAUCUGGGUACUACGCAGGCUGUUUGCAACCCACGGGCUCCCUGACACUCUCAUCUCAGACAACGGGACUGCAUUUACGUCAGGAGAAUUCCAAACCUUCACAGCGCAGAACGCCAUCCGCCACAUCCGUUCGGGCGCCGUUCCACCCUGCCACCAAUGGCCAAGCAGAACGCAUGGUGCGGACCACCAAGGACACCCUUCGCCGCAUGACGCAAGGGGACUGGGAGUACCGCCUUGCCACAUUCCUUCUAGCACAGCACAGCACCCCCAGCUCAAUGACUGGCCGGAGCCCCGCUGAACUACUAAUGGGUCGGCACCUUGCAAUCAGAUUGGACUGCCUUCACCCCGAUAGAGCUCAGGAUGAGGUAGUGGUGGGGGAAGGCAGGAACCCCCGGACCUUCGAGGCCCAGGACCCAGUGUAUGCAAAGAAUUUUGGGGCAGGCCCAGCAUGGUCACUGGGGUCACUGGCCCCGUGUCGUACGAGGUGCUAACGGAUGGGGGGCAAUGCUGGCGCUGCCACUGCGACCAGAUACGGCGACGAUUCCCAGGAGAAAACCAGGAGGAGGACAGGUCAGAGGAGUCCCAAGCGAACAGCGGGGCAGUGAGGCCCAUAGAGCAGGAGGGGCCAGCAGGAGAGGCAGAAUCAGUAAAUACAGAGAGGACCCGUGAGGCCGAAAGGACACCGGAACCAGAACCAUGACUGAGCGAGCCGGUUGCACCAGACCAAACAGCCCCAUCACAGCCAGCAUCCUUGGAACACGAGCCAGAACCUGGAGCCCGGACCAGGGAACACCCCAGGCCGCAACGCACACGUAGGCCGCCGGCAUACCUUGAGGACUAUGAAUGCGACCUCCCGGGCAGGACUGGAACUUAGAGGGGAGGGGUGUUAUGUACUGAGUUGAAUAGGAUCCAAACUGCAGCAGUCUGAUUGGUCCUAGAACAAUAUGAUUGGUCUGCAAGAGCCACCCAAUCCAGCUCCAGAUAGAAGUGAAUCCACAACCUGAUUGGCUUACAGUAGAAUUCCGGAAUUAGCCAAUCAUGUGCAGCCCAUUGUGUAAAUAAUGUAUAUAAAGCAGAUACUGUGAGGGAACUUCCAUUCAGUCCUCCUCACCACUAUGAGCUGAAUAAAGAGCCUGAAAUCACUUUGCGACUCUGAGUAUAUUUCACAGUCUCUUACUAGACAUUGCUCAGAAAUACCAACAAACAAACAAACAAACAAACAAACAAACAAACAUCAGUUCUGUUUUGAAAACAGUGGUUGAAAUCAGCAGUUUGGAAAUGUUCAGUAUGCCAUUUUGAGUCAAUAUGAUAUCUAAUUACAUCCAAAAGCUUGCUCCUUGAUCUCUGGACCCAUCAUGCAAAAUUUGAUUACUGUGUCCAAAUGCAGAGAGAACAAAUGACUUUCAAAAAUAUAUGGUAGAUGACUUGCGUAAUGUCAACAUAGGCUUACAAGUGUAAAAACCAAUUACACGAGACUUAAAAUAUAAACACCCAUAAUUAAAAUGCACAACAAAACAAUUCCAUUAAAAUAUUCAAGUCUACACAUCCAUAAUCAAAACAGACAAUAAAGCAAUUCUGUUUAAACACACAUUAAUUAACACAGGAGACACAGCUCUAGAGAUCAAGCAAAUUCCCAUAUAAACAGGUAAGUCUUCAAAAGCUGACAUAAUGCCAAUGCAGAUAAGGCCUCUCAGCCCCAAGUGCAGAAGCAGUGGUCAUAUCUAGAGUCAAAGGUAGCCACAAUAGCUUUUAGCUUGUUGGAAACAAAGAAAUAUAGCAUAACUUCAGUGAUCCUUUAUCUGCUUCCAGAAAAAAAAAGUUUGGAAAUAACACUGAAAUAUACUAUAUUGUACUAUAUUUCUGGAAGUGGAGUUUAUAUCAUGUGAAAACUCAGAUACAAUGCAGAAAUUAUGGAAAUGUCAGGAAAAUGGAACAAACCGCCGAGUGAAUGUAGCCUUAGCUAAAUACCACCCACCUUCUGCUUUUCAGUUCACACUUCUGCAAGCAAUUUCCCCUAACAUAAUGCGUUUUUGUAUUUUAUUUUCAUGAGCAUGUUUUAAUGUCUAUUUCCCCCGACAUACACCUUUUUGUACACAUUAUCUGCUUGGAAAACUGCAUUGCAAAAUUCGGGGACAUGCAAAUUUAAAAGGAUAGCUGUGUUUUGGUUCAUGCAUUUUUUUCAGGAAAGAGAACUACAUUUGUCCCCUCUAUCUAGUCCCGGUUACAAUGGAAACAGUCUGCUCUUGCCCAGUGGUGGCUGCUAUCCUUUGGGACUGGUAAAGUGGAAGGGAGAGUGGCCAGUAGCAGGGGGAACCACAGCCACUGAGAGACAGAGCCAGCUCCUUCUAGCUUGUCCCCCACCCUCCCUGCUUCAUUCUUCAAGAACAAAACAGACUGAGAAGGGGGGAGCUGACAGCCAGAGCCACACUGUGGCCCUGGACUAGUAAGUAGGAAGGCAGGCAGGUGAGGACUGGCUGAGGUUAGUGGGGCCAUGCCCCCUUUGAAUCAGCCACUUCUGCUCAUGCUUGAAAAACUAGGUGCUAACACAUUGUAAGUAAAAAGGGUUGGGCUGGGUUUGUAACUGUCUUCAAAUUCCUGUAUCAAUAACAGUGAUACAUCAUCUUUUUGCUUUUUUAAUCAUUUAGAUUCCCACUUCCCUUAUUUAAACUUCUAUAGAGAUAACAUAUUUAACAGACAAACUGAAAUGGCUAAGUCUUUAAGACACUACAAUACUUCUUGUUUUUUCUCAUUACAGAGCAACAAUGUGUGUUAAUUCAAACAACCAGAAGAGGGCACUGCCCACCGAUUUUCAACACUCACUUUUUUUUUGGUGGGGGGGGAAUGGAUGGACACAAAGAGUUCUGAUCACUUACAGAUCUGUUCUUUACAACAGGAUAAUAUUGUUUCUGUCACCAAAGCUACAAUCAACAUGCUAAAUUCAGAAAGCGACACAAGAGAAGGCAAAUCCUAUGAAAACACAAACCUGGAAGCAUAAAUAACCAAAAAGCAAAGUUACUAUAUAUUACUACUAACUAGCUAUUAGAAACAAUGCAUCGUAAUAUGCAAAUUUAAUUCAAAACUUGGGGUGGGGAUGGAAUCUGGCCUGUUAAAAGGUAAAGGUACCCCUGUCCGUACGGGCCAGUCAUGUCCGACUCUAGGGUUGUGCGCCCAUCUCACUUAAGAGGCCGUGAGCCGGUGCCGUCCGAGGACACUUCCGGGUCACGUAGCCAGCGUGACGAAGCUGCAGCUGGCGAGCCAGCACCAGCGCAGCACACGGAAACGCCGUUUACCUUCCCGCUAUAAAGCGGUCCCUAUUUAUCUACUUGCACUUAGGGGUGCUUUCGAACUGCUAGGUGGGCAGGAGCUGGGACCAAACGACAGGAGCUCACCCCGCCGCGGGGAUUCGAACCGCCGACCAUACGAUCGGCAAGUGCUAGGCACUGAGGUUUUACCCACAGUGCCACCUGCGUCCCUUUUAUCUGGCCUGUUAGGCCUUGUCAAACUCCCAAGUCCCAUUGUCCCAGCCUUCAGGGCCAAUGGUCAGGGAUGAGGAAGUCCUCAACAUCAUCUGGAGGGCCACGGAUUAGCCACACCUGAGCUAUACCACCCUCUAAUAUCACAUAUAACUUAUAAUAGGUUCUUUUUUUCACCUUGAUGAGAAGUUGCACUUGCCAACAUUCCCUGUUCUACUUGAUUAUUAAACAUAUAGCAGCCAUGUUUCCCUUUUUUCUCUUAGUCACAGUUACAACUUUCUGGAAAGUAAAUGUAAGAUAAUAGGCUUGUUUGGUGGUGGGAAAUGUCCUUUUGAAGCAGCUUACUAAUUUUAGAUAUCAAACCUGCAUAUACGCGCUCUCUCUCUCUCUCUCUCUCUCUCUCUCUCACACACACACACACACACACAUAAAAUUCUCAGUUACUGUCACUGAAAUACCUUUUAUUACUAGCAAGUAGCAACUAGUUAUAGAUGAUGUUGAUGAGAAAAAUGUUCAGCCUUAGAUCAGCACUGACAAUAAAGUGAUCUUGUAUGACACUUUUGCAGAUUGUGAACUAAGGCAGAGACAGCAAAUUCAUUUUAUUAACCAUACGUUCAACCAAUUUAUUUACACCCUCCUUUCCUCUCCAAAAAGAAGCCCAAAGCAGCUGAUAACAUCAUACAAGAAAAAAAUACAACAAUUUAAAAAGAAAAACAAUAUGAAUUAUCUGACAGCAAAAAUAUUAUAACAAACCUAUAAGUAAACCAUUGGUUUGAUACUUUAAACACCAGUUCACUUAGCAAUACAAAAAUGCAUAAAUAUAUCAAUAAACAAGGGGAGACUAAGUGUCCUGAACCCCUGACCUACCUGGCAGCAUGUCAGUAUGUCAAGUCCAAAGGCCAGAAAACACAGUCCAGGGUCAAUCCAAGUAGCCAAGUCAGAAUACAGUCCAGAGUCAAACCCAAAACACAGUCCCAUAGAGGCCCAGGAGUAUCCAAGCCAAGGCCCACCAACAUGGGCAGUUGAGCAGACAUAGCACCUCAGCUCUGCUGCCCUUUUGACCUUUGCAUGCUGAUUGUAGCAUCUGGGCUUGAUGGGGCAUGUGACCCUCACCUGUUCUGAGCUUACUUCAAGUGAGGAAUCACACACCUUCUGCUAGAGCUAGUGAACUCCACCUGGCCAGCUAGGGAGCUGGGCUGUGGGUCCUCUAGAACGCCUUUCCCGUUGCUCCCUAUGCCUCAGAGCCCACUGUAUUCAUAGAAACAAGGGCCCCUCUGGCUCUGGGAAUGGGUCCUGCUGUUCUGGGUCCUGGGCACUGACCUCCAUCCCCUUGCCAUUCUUUGUCACCAUGUGAGUACUUCCUUCCCCAUCCCCCUGCUUCCCCCAGUGUGUCCCAGUCCUGGCAAACCCCUCGCCGGAUCCUCCCCAUUGUCCUGCCAGUUCAUGACACUAAGAUAUAACCCAUAUUUCAGCCACAAAUAUAUACACACUAGGUGUUGCAUCCUUGCUUGAUCCACUCACCUGUCAUUCACCCCACAUCAAUCCCCUAGAUUGAUUCCCCACAUGCAACUACAAAGCUCACUUUUCACCUUCCAAAACCCAUUUCUGAAGCAACUUCUCACUGCAGUCCCACUUUGCACCCAUUUUCACCUCCCCACCAUGUCCAAAACCAAAAUCAAUUCUCCUGGCAAACUGGGAAUAUCCCCUCAUUCACACAGUUUAGGACAUUCCCCACCUUUCUUCAGCAGAGUUUCUUUUUCUUUGAAAAAAAUAAAGGGCUCACAUAAAUGUAAACAAAGCUUCAAUAAUAAAGAAAACUGUGACAAAAUAGCAUAAUGAGACACACUAAAUACAGCAUGUUAUGUACUGAGUUGAAUAGGAUCCAAAAUACAGCAGUCUGAUUGGUCCUAGAACAAUGCAGCAAUAUGAUUGGUCUGCAAGAGCCACCCAAUCCAGCUCCAGAUGGAAGUGAAUCCACAACCUGAUUGGCCUACAGGAGAAUUCCGGAAUUAGCCAAUCACGUGCAGCCCAUUGUGUAAAUGAUGUAUAUAAAGCAGAUACUUUGGGGGAACUUUCAUUCCUCCCCACCACUAUGAGCUGAAUAAAGAGCAUGAAAUCCA